rnacentral:rRNA from 1 species
GACGAACGCUGGCGGCGUGCUUAACACAUGCAAGUCGAACGGAAAGGCCCUGCUUUUGUGGGGUGCUCGAGUGGCGAACGGGUGAGUAACACGUGAGUAACCUGCCCUUGACUUUGGGAUAACUUCAGGAAACUGGGGCUAAUACCGGAUAGGAGCUCCUGCUGCAUGGUGGGGGUUGGAAAGUUUCGGCGGUUGGGGAUGGACGCGCGGCUUAUCAGCUUGUUGGUGGGGUAGUGGCUUACCAAGGCUUUGACGGGUAGCCGGCCUGAGAGGGUGACCGGCCACAUUGGGACUGAGAUACGGCCCAGACUCCUACGGGAGGCAGCAGUGGGGAAUAUUGCACAAUGGGCGGAAGCCGGAGGCAGAAACGCCGCGUGCGGGAUGACGGCCUUCGGGUUGUAAACCGCUUUCGCCUGUGACGAAGCGUGAGUGACGGUAAUGGGUAAAGAAGCACCGGCUAACUACGUG